AGCCAAAUUUAAAAUAAAACCAAUAAUAAUUACAGUUGAAAAUGAAAUUAGAAAAAAGGGAAAAGACCAAAGAUGAGAUUGAGACGAGAAGUGGGAAAUUAUUAUACGGUGAAGCCAAAUUGGAUAGGGCCCAAGGCGACGAUUAGGACACAGAGGACAACGGAGAUUGAUCCAUCGCGAAGGACUUGGGAGGAAGAUCCCAUAAUACUGGACUGCCUGGAACUCAUCCGAUACCAACUUCCGGUGUGCAAAAAGGGUUUCUUGAGAUCCCGGCCUUCUUCAUUGUCGUCCCGAAAACUCAUCGCCAACUCACUUCAAGAGAAAAAAAAGGAUUUGUGGUGAUAGCA